GCAUUGGUGGUUCAGUGGUAGAGUUCUUGCCUGCUAUGCAGAAGGCCUCGGUUUUAGUCCCGGCCAAUGCA
rnacentral:tRNA from 1 species